rnacentral:rRNA from 1 species
AGAUUAAGUUAUUAAGGGCGCACGGUGGAUGCCUUGGCACUAGAAACCGAUGAAGGACGUUACUAACG